GAUGCCUUCAUCUGGGUUCACAAUGGGAAUGCUUUGGGUUGCAGGGGUUUUAUUUUGCAUUGCAGCCUUGGCUUCCGCAGAUCCCCGGUUCGAAUCCACCCGCUGAAAACACACGCUACCGUUAAAAAACUCGCUCCAUAGAUAGAUAGAUAUUGCAGCUGAAAAAAGCAUGCUACUGGUUCGAAUCCACCCGUUGAAAAAACAUGCUAACGUUAAGAUAUUGCAGUUGAAAAAAAGCAUGCUACCGUUAAUAAACGCGCUCCAUAGAUAGACAUUGCAGCUGAAAAAAGCAUGCUACCGUUAAAAAAAACACGCUCCUAUUCUUUAACCUAUUAUAUAUUCGCAAUGUUCAGAGUCAUCUGGGGAGGAAUGUUCAGUAUUUCCCUGCCUACAUUGAUUUUGUAUGUACUAGCUAUGCGGACUCUUCUGGUUAUUGCUGCUCCAAGACCAUAGUGAGCAUAGAGAUGAAAGAUUUUAGGGAAUUGAAUUUAUAGAUUCUUGGUAUAGGGCUCGAUGCCCUUUCCUGCAAGGGGGUGAAUUUGCCAUUUGGUGUGCCCUAUCUGCGGAGGAAUGUUGUCCGAGAGAGUGAUGCCUCCAACGCCUCAGAGGUCAUCCGCAUCACCAAUCAUCUGCGGAGAAAUGUUGACUGAUUUCGGAAAGGGAGAACCAGUAUGUGUAUUAGCCUAUUAUGGUAGCCGUGGACCAACAAAAUUUGCAGAGGUAGAAGAAUGCUCAGCCAAUAUAAGGGAGGGCAGGAACCAAAUUACUGAAGCUUAAAUCUCUGAAAAUGGAAGCAUGUUGUAUGCAUUGCUGGAGAUGGUGUAGCUCCAGGAAGACAGCAAUGAUGUGGAUAAUAUAAAGCAGGCAUUUAGCAAAUGGCUACUUAUGCUAAAAGUGGAGUGAAUUUUAAAAUAAAUUAAAAUUUGGUGUGAACUUCAAUUUAUAUAUAUUUAAUAGUAACGUUAAUACACAAAAUCUUUGUUGCAUUCACAUUGAUGUUAACAGUUUGAUUGUUGCAGUCAGAUUCACUUUAGUGACUUAAUAAAUGUUUAGAAAGCUCUGUUCACAUCAGAUUCUAUUUUGUUGGUUUCUUUGUCCAUCAUUCUAUGUUUUUUGUUUUUUUUCUUUGCUUUCAUUCUGUUUUUGUUUGGCAUGGCCAUGCCGCCUCUGCUUUUAUUUUGUCUCUGAGUUUUACUCUAAUAUGUUUGGUAUGUGUUUUUCUUUUGUAAUUUUUUGUGUAGAUUGUUUUUAAAUUUUUUUUUGGUAUUUUGUAUUUGUCUCUUUUUGUGGGUGGUGAUUUUUCAGGCAGCAGCGAGGAGGAGGAGGAGGAGGAGGAGAAACAACGAAGCACAACUACAUAUCACAAGCACCAAGAAAUACAAUAGUAUUGACGAUAAGGAAGAUGAUGAGGAAAUAGCCAAGCAGCUAGCGAAAGCUAUACAAGUCUGUUUAUUUGAAGUCCCAAAUAAACGGAGAGCAGCCACAUACUGAUCAAGUGUGCAACAUUAGAUAAUGUUUGGAUCUGGUUCAAGCGUUCGAUGUGGCAGAAGUAGUUGGCAUUCUUUGAUUACUAUAAUGAUAAAUACCUUCACCAUGUCUGUAGAAUGAUGCCUAGAGUGCAAAGUGAUACCUAGAGUUUCUCAAUUGUUAUUGAAGUCAAUGCAGAGCAAAUUUUAAUUUUACUACUUAUUUGUAAAUGGAUAUGUAAAUAGAUUUGUUGUUUAAUAAAUUUUUUUUUGGGAGGGGUUGAAUUUGCCCCCUCCUCAAGGCUGCAGAGAAUGG